AGAGUUUGAUCAUGGCUCAGGAUGAACGCUAGCGACAGGCCUAACACAUGCAAGUCGAGGGGCAUCGGGNCGUAGCAAUACGUUGCCGGCGACCGGCGGAUGGGUGAGUAACGCGUAUGCAACCUACCCGCAGCAGGGGGAUAGCCCGUUGAAAGACGGAUUAAUACCCCGUAACACAGGGGCUCCGCAUGGAGAUUAUUGUUAAAGGGUCAUUUCUUUUUCAGGGAUGGUCCGGCUGCGGAUGGGCAUGCGUUCCAUUAGGUAGUUGGUGUAGGUAAUGGCUCACCAAGCCGACGAUGGAUAGGGGAACUGAGAGGUUGGUCCCCCACACUGGUACUGAGACACGGACCAGACUCCUACGGGAGGCAGCAGUGAGGAAUUUUGGUCAAUGGACGCAAGUCUGAACCAGCCAUGUCGCGUGAAGGAGGACGGCCCUAAGGGUUGUAAACUUCUUUUGCAGUGGAAUAAAGUUUGCCACGUGUUGGCGAUUUGCAAGUACGCUGCGAAUAAGGAUCGGCUAACUCCGUGCCAGCAGCCGCGGUAAUACGGAGGAUCCAGGCGUUAUCCGGAUUUAUUGGGUUUAAAGGGUGCGCAGGCGGGGAAUUAGGUCGGCGGUGAAAUUUCGGGGCUCAACCUCGACAGUGCCGUUGAAACCGUUUCUCUUGAGUGCGGAUGAGGUAGGCGGAAUUUGUGGUGUAGCGGUGAAAUGCGUAGAUAUCACAAGGAACACCGAUUGCGGAGGCAGCUUACUAAACCGUUACUGACGCUCAUGCACGAAGGCGUGGGGAUCAAACAGGAUUAGAUACCCUGGUAGUCCACGCAGUAAACGAUGAUUACUUGCUGUUUGCGAUACACAGUAAGCGGCGAAGCGAAAGCGUUAAGUAAUCCACCUGGGGAGUACGUUCGCAAGAAUGAAACUCAAGGAAUUGACGGGGCCCGCACAAGCGGA
rnacentral:rRNA from 1 species